rnacentral:rRNA from 1 species
ACCCGCUGAACUUAAGCAUAUCAAUAAGCGGAGGAAAAGAAACCAACAGGGAUUGCCUCAGUAACGGCGAGUGAAGCGGCAACAGCUCAGAUUUGAAAUCCGGCCCUAGGCCCGAGUUGUAAUCUGUAGAGGAUGCUUUUGGUUAGGUGCCUUCCGAGUUCCCUGGAACGGGACGCCACAGAGGGUGAGAGCCCCGUACUGUUGGACACCGAGCCUCUGUAAAGCUCCUUCGACGAGUCGAGUAGUUUGGGAAUGCUGCUCUAAAUGGGAGGUAAAUUCCUUCUAAAGCUAAAUACCGGCCAGAGACCGAUAGCGCACAAGUAGAGUGAUCGAAAGAUGAAAAGCACCUUGAAAAGAGGGUUAAAUAGCACGUGAAAUUGUUGAAAGGGAAGCGCUCGUGACCAGACACGCGCCGGGAGGAUCAUCUAGCGUUCUCGCUGGUGCACUCCUCUCGGCGCGGGCCAGCGUCGGUUCUCUUAGGGGGAUAAAAGCAGUGGGAAUGUGGCUCCUUCGGGAGUGUUAUAACCCAUUGCCCAAUGCCUCUGAGGGGACCGAGGUCCGCGCCCUGCAAGGACGCUGGCAUAAUGGUCACUAGCGACCCGUCUUGAAACACGG